rnacentral:rRNA from 1 species
CCUACGGGUGGCUGCAGUAGGGAAUAUUGGACAAUGGGCGCAAGCCUGAUCCAGCCAUGCCGCGUGAGUGAAGAAGGCCCUUGGGUUGUAAAGCUCUUUUGUCCGGAAAGAAAAGCAAUCGGUUAAUACCCGGUUGUUCUGACGGUACCGGAAGAAUAAGCACCGGCUAACUUCGUGCCAGCAGCCGCGGUAAUACGAAGGGUGCAAGCGUUACUCGGAAUUACUGGGCGUAAUGCGUGCGUAGGUGGUUGGAAGCCCUGGGCUCAACCGGGGAAUGGCAUUGGAUACUGGCGGGCUAGAGUGCGGUAGAGGGUAGUGGAAUUCCCGGUGUAGCAGUGAAAUGCGUAGAGAUCGGGAGGAACAUCUGUGGCGAAGGCGACUGCCUGGACCAGCACUGACACUGAGGCACGAAAGCGUGGGGAGCAAACAGGAUUAGAUACCCGAGUAGUC